GAUGAAGAACGUAGUGAAAUGCGAUAAGUAAUGUGAAUUGCAGAAUUCAGUGAAUCAUCGAAUCUUUGAACGCACAUUGCGCCCGCCAGUAUUCUGGCGGGCAUGCCUGUUCGAGCGUCAUUUCAACCAUCAAGCCCCGGGCUUGUGUUGGGGACCUGCGGCUGCCGCAGGCCCUGAAAUGCAGUGGCGGGCUCGCUGUCACUCCGAGCGUAGUAAUACAUCUCGCUCUGGACGUGCUGCGGGUUCCGGCCGUUAAAAGCCUUAUUUACCCAAGGUUGACCUCGGAUCAGGUAGGAAGACCCGCUGAACUUAAGCAUAUCAAUAAGCGGAGGA
rnacentral:misc_RNA from 1 species